GAUGAAGAACGUAGCGAAAUGCGAUACUUGGUGUGAAUUGCAGAAUCCCGUGAACCAUCGAGUCUUUGAACGCAAGUUGCGCCUCAAGCCAUUAGGUUGAGGGCACGUCUGCCUGGGCGUCACAUAUCGUUGCCUGAUGACAGUUUCCUCGUGAUGGGUGACUGUGCAGGGCGAAUGAUGGCUUCCCGUGAGCAUUGUUGCCUCAUGGUUGGUUGAAAAUUGAGUCCUUGGUAGGGAGCGCCGUGAUAGAUGGUGGUUGAGUGACGAACGAGACCCAAUCAUGUGAGACCCCUACCGAAUUUGGCCUUCAUGACCCACAUGCGUCUUUGGAACGCUCAUGACGAGACCUCAGGUCAGGCGGGGCUACCCGCUGAGUUUAAGCAUAUCAAUAAGCGGAGGA
rnacentral:misc_RNA from 1 species